rnacentral:rRNA from 1 species
GACGAACGCUGGCGGCGUGCUUAACACAUGCAAGUCGAACGAUGAAGCCGGAGCUUGCUCCGGUGGAUUAGUGGCGAACGGGUGAGUAACACGUGAGCAAUCUGCCCUUGACUCUGGGAUAACUGCGGGAAACUGUAGCUAAUACCGGAUACGACACCUUGGGGCAUCCCAGGGUGUGGAAAGAAUUUCGGUCAAGGAUGAGCUCGCGGCCUAUCAGCUAGUUGGUGAGGUAAUGGCUCACCAAGGCGACGACGGGUAGCCGGCCUGAGAGGGUGACCGGCCACACUGGAACUGAGACACGGUCCAGACUCCUACGGGAGGCAGCAGUGGGGAAUAUUGCACAAUGGGCGAAAGCCUGAUGCAGCAACGCCGCGUGAGGGAUGAAGGCCUUCGGAUUGUAAACCUCUUUUAGCAGGGAAGAAGCGAAAGUGACGGUACCUGCAGAAAAAGCACCGGCUAACUACGUGCCAGCAGCCGCGGUAACAC